rnacentral:snoRNA from 1 species
GUUUAUGAUGUAUUUCCACAAUCUCACGACGGUCAACUGCGUUUGCUAUUUUAUUUUAGCAGACUUUGAUGAUAUUCUGCCUUUGACAAGGCAGUGGUCUGAAC